rnacentral:rRNA from 1 species
UACGUAGGGUGCGAGCGUUAAUCGGAAUUACUGGGCGUAAAGCGUGCGCAGGCGGUUUGCUAAGACCGAUGUGAAAUCCCCGGGCUCAACCUGGGAACUGCAUUGGUGACUGGCAGGCUAGAGUAUGGCAGAGGGGGGUAGAAUUCCACGUGUAGCAGUGAAAUGCGUAGAGAUGUGGAGGAAUACCGAUGGCGAAGGCAGCCCCCCUGGGCCAAUACUGACGCUCAUGCACGAAAGCGUGGGGAGCAAACAGG